rnacentral:misc_RNA from 1 species
GGAAGGAUCAUUAAUAAAACAAUGAACUUAUAACAAACUGAACUACUAUAGCAGCUCUAAUCGGUUGCUAUACAAUUGAACUUAUACAAAACAAACCACAUAAGUAAAUUUAUUGGUUGAUAUAAAACUAAAUUUUCAACGAUGGAUGUCUAGGCUCCCAUAACGAUGAAGAACGCAGCGAGAAUGCGAUAUGCAGUGUGAAUUGCAGAACUACGAAUCAUCGGAUUUUUGAACGCAACUGGCGCUGAUAAAAUCAGCAUACUUGUUUCAGUGUGCCUCAACAACUAAACAACUUAAUGUGAGAGAAUAUUCUCUCAUGAAAUAAAUGCUCUAAGCAGCAAUCACAAUUCUUUGUGAGCUACUCUAGGGGACUACAAGUCUUAUUCGCACCUGAAAUCAAGUAAGAUGACCCGCUGGACUUAAGCAUAUUACUAAGCGGAGGAAAAGAAAUUAACUAAGAUUGCCUUAGUAAGGGCGACUGAACCGGCAAAAGCUCAAAAUUGGAAUCGGCUGUUCAAAGAACUACCGAAUUGUAAUCAGGCUCGCCUAAAUACGAACGUUGACUCAAGUACCUUGAAAGGUACGCCAGAGAGGGUGAAAGCCCCGUACAGUUUUCGUUCGAGUAAGGGGAGUCCCAAAAGAGUCGGGUUGCUUGGAACUGCAGCCCUAAGUGGGAGAUAUGAUUCUUCCAAAGCUAAAUAAGGAUGGGAGACCGAUAGCAAACAAGUACUGUGAAGGAAAGAUGAAAAGGACUUUGAAAAGAGGGUGAAAAGAUCUGAAAUCGUUGAGAAGUAAGCGGUAGAAACUGAUGAUGCUGCUGAUGGGGCAACGCGGCGAAACACCGCGAAGUUCUUACCAGAGGCAUGGGCAAGAUGAAGUUGGACGGACUAAAAAAGGGUCAAACCGAAUUGAGUCUGAACAGCUUGAGGGACAAAUGUGAUCUUGCCAAAAUGGUUUUUACCGUCCCGUCUUGAAACACGGACCAAGGAGUCUAACUUAUAUGCGAGUGUGCGAGUGGAAAAACUCAUACGCGGAAUGAAAGUAAAAGGUGCGCAGCGUGAGCUUCAGCAUCGACCGACCUAGUAAGAAAGGUUUGAGUGAGAGCAUAUAGGUUAGGACCCGAAAGAUGGUGAACUAUGCCUGAGUAGGGUGAAGUCAGGAGAAAUCCUGAUGGAGGCUCGUAGCGAUGCUAACGUGCAAAUUGCUCGUCAAACUUGGGUAUAGGGGCGAAAGACUAAUCGAACCAUCUAGUAGCUGGUUCCCUC